GACGAACGCUGGCGGCGUGCUUAACACAUGCAAGUCGAACGAAGUGGCGAACGGGUGAGUAAUACGUGGGUAACCUUCCCUCCUUUUUGGGAUAAGCCUUGGACACGGGGUCUAAUACCGAAUAGCGGGGGAUGGGCUCGCGGCCUAUCAGCUUGUUGGUGGGGUGAUGGCCUACCAAGGCGGUGACGGGUAGCCGGCCUGAGAGGGUGACAGGCAACAGUGGGACUGAGAUACGGCCCAGACUCCUACGGGAGGCAGCAGUGGGGAAUAUUGCACAAUGGGCGGAAGCCUGAUGCAGCGACGCCGCGUGGGGGAUGACGGCCUUCGGGUUGUAAACUCCUUUCACCAUCGACGCGGUAGAUGGAGAAGAAGCACCGGCUAACUACGUGCCAGCAGCCGCGGUAAUUC
rnacentral:rRNA from 1 species